rnacentral:rRNA from 1 species
AUUGAACGCUGGCGGCAUGCUUUACACAUGCAAGUCGAACGGCAGCGCGGGCUUCGGCCUGGCGGCGAGUGGCGAACGGGUGAGUAAUACAUCGGAACGUGCCCAGUAGUGGGGGAUAGCUCGGCGAAAGCCGGAUUAAUACCGCAUACGGCCUGAGGGUGAAAGCGGGGGAUCUUCGGACCUCGCGCUAGUGGAGCGGCCGAUGGCAGAUUAGCGAGUUGGUGGGGUAAAGGCCUACCAAGGCGACGAUCUGUAGCUGGUCUGAGAGGACGACCAGCCACACUGGGACUGAGACACGGCCCAGACUCCUACGGGAGGCAGCAGUGGGGAAUUUUGGACAAUGGGCGAGAGCCUGAUCCAGCAAUGCCGCGUGUGUGAUGAAGGCCUUCGGGUUGUAAAGCACUUUUGGCGGGAACGAAAAGGACUGUGCCAAUACCACGGUUCGAUGACGGUACCCGCAGAAUAAGCACCGGCUAACUACGUG